UAUAAGUCUCCUGAAGGAACGUUAAAGACGAUGACGUUGAUAGGCCGGGUGUGUAAGCGCAGCGAUGCGUUGAGCUAACCGGUACUAAUGAACCGUGAGGCUUAACCUUACAACGCCGAAG
rnacentral:rRNA from 1 species